CAACCAGAGCCAGCCAAGAGACUCCAACCUGACCCAUGUCAAAGGAAAAUAAGACCUCAGCCUUCAUCCAAAAGUCCACCAAAGAACCUCCAAAAGAUACGCAUGUGUCAUAGAGCUGAGACUUGGGGCAGGGAUAAAUGUCAAUCAUUUUGGGGACUCGCUGUACUAACCCAACGUUUUCUUGGAAAUCUAAUGCAUGUGUAAGCAGCAGCUUCUUUAAGUAUGUG
rnacentral:lncRNA from 1 species